rnacentral:lncRNA from 1 species
ACUGUAUGCGUGGAUCCGUGUGUGACUGCAAGGCGCCGGCUCUCGGGCCGCGUUUGUGCCUGGAGCAGAGAAACUGCGCGGGAUGCAGAAAGCCCCAAGCCCUGCUGGAGCUGGGCGCCCGCUGUCCCUUCCCUGGCAGUCCUCUUCCUCGGGCGCCGCGGGGCUCCUCCAGGGAGACUGCGGAAGGGGAGGAGGCGAAGCGAAAACGGAGGGCAGCCGUAGUAAUAGCGCGUAGUAGUUCGGGGGUAUGUGGAGAAGGUGCUGGAAUUUAACUGUGCCUCCGCCUGCCAGUGCGAGCCUGCAGAGAGAGAGGGAGGGGACGGGGGACGGGCUCCGAGUGGCACCAAAGCUGUUUGUGGCACAGUGUGGACUGUGGAAAAAACGGGCAUUGUCGUGCCGGCUGAAACUUUUUCUCCCCCUUCCCUAAGGCUGUCAUUAUAAAUCUGCCCCCUAUUCCAGGUAAAAAAAUAAAAAAUAGAAAAGGGAGGCGGGCACAAAGAACGUUCCUGCCAAAUCUGUCUCUUCCCUGAAGGACUGCAAGCUUCCAAAUGCCAACGAGGGAGAAACAGCUGAGAGGCUGAACGCCUUAUAAAUAAGUAAACCCACCCUAACCUCUCUGUUUACUUCGUGGACUAGGUACAGCACUAUAACCUUCCCUCACCUGCCAUCUUCGCUAAAAUAUAUACAAAAAUAUGGAAAAACAAACCCUGGG